UGUCUCGGCCAUCCCCAUCACCUCAGCCUCAACUUUGCCCCUACCUGAACAAUAUCGGUACAGCAGUAUGUAAAAUACAGACUAUCUAAAGUUGAAAGAGUACUUAAAGUAUCAUUUACUUGUUCUGCAGAUGCAUUGUAUUGUCUUCAUCGGAGAUUGAAUAAUACCUAGACAGACCUGUAAUCUGACCCAUUACUUUUUUCUUUUUUUAGCCUCUCUGCUGUUUACACUGUGUCAUAAAACAAAUGGCACUGCUGUUAACUGGAAAAUCUGGUCUAGCAUGCAUGAUGUGCAUUUAGAGUGACAGUUCUGUACCUUGAUCUAGACUUAAUGGUACCACUCUGAAUGGAGCAUCUGGUAGAACAAGUCUUCCGUAGGACAUCUCCUGUGGAUUGUAAACCACAUGCCAGAACACAAAUAAACUGGAAAUUCUACAAGUCUUUUAUAAAAAUAUUUUAAAAUUGUAAGCAUGUCUUCAGCACAUCACUGUCUUCCUUAGUUAGUUUUUAAAGUGCUAUCUGAUCAAUAUCAGAUACUUAGCAUUUGGGUACCAAAUUGAUCUUAAUCCUAAAAUACAGUUAUCUAAUUUACUUGCACUGUGAAUAUCUCUGCUUUGCAUGGUCCUGAUAUAAUAAGGUUCAGAGAAAUACUAUUGCUUGUAGGAGGGUUGACACCAACCCUCAGGAACUGAAAAUAUAAGAGAUUGUAUCAAUGACUGACAGAAUAUGAUGAUUCAGCUGAUGUAAAUCUUACUUUAAAAAUCACUUAAAUACAAACCUAGUUGAUAAAUUUAAUUAAACAUCUUUUAAGACUGCUAAUGUGUUAGUAUUGGAUAAUAGUUCAGGAAGAAUUGUCAUGUAUAGUAUCAGUAAUCAUAUAUUAAACAUAUGAAAAUUUGGAUAAAAAUUUGAUCUUAAUAUAACUGCCAUCAGAUGGGAUAAAUUGUUAUUGCACAGAAGCAUUUUCUGUGAAAUCAGCAGUAAGUCUGAAUCAUAUAAUAACAGAGUCAUAGAUUGGUUUGGGUUUUAAGGGACCUUAAAGAUCAUGUAGUUCCAAAGCCCCUGCAUGCACAGGAACACCUUCCACUAGAUCAUGUUAUUCAGAGUUCCAUCUAACCUGGCCUUGAACACUUCCAGGAUCAAGGAAUCCACAGCUCAUUAUUUUUAAUAAUUUGAAAUUUGAGUACUUUUCUUCCCACUUACCUGAAAUUGAUCUAAAAUAAUUGCUGAGAAAAAUCUGCUGCUGGAAGGAGGUACUCAUACAUAAUGGUGCAGAUCUCUUCACGACUCAGUCAUGGAAAUUUGCAUUUGUAGCCAUUAAAAAGUCAUUGUUACUUAAAAAAUGGGGGGGUAGUAUAACUGUUCUUCAUAGUCACUUUGAAAAUAAUUUAGAUGUCAAAUGAC
rnacentral:lncRNA from 1 species